rnacentral:rRNA from 1 species
AGCAGCCGCGGUAAUUCCAGCUCCAAUAGCGUAUAUUAAAGUUGUUGCAGUUAAAAAGCUCGUAGUUGAAUUUCGGGAUCAGUACGCUGGUCGUGCCCUUGGUAUGUACUGGUGUUACUGGUUCCUACCUUCUGACGAACCGUCAUGUCAUUAAUUUGGUGUGGCGGGAAAUCAGGACUGUUACUUUGAAAAAAUUAGAGUGUUUAAAGCAGGCUCGCGCUUGAAUACAUUAGCAUGGAAUAAUGAAAUAGGACGUUCGAUCCUAUUUUGUUGGUUUCUAGGAUUGACGUAAUGAUUAAUAGGGAUAGUUGGGGGCAUUAGUAUUCAAUUGUCAGAGGUGAAAUUCUUGGAUUUAUUGAAGACUAACUACUGCGAAAGCAUUUGCCAAGGAUGUUUUCAUUAAUCAAGAACGAAAGUUAGGGGAUCGAAGACGAUCAGAUACCGUCGUAGUCUUAACCAUAAACUAUGCCGACUAGGGAUCGGAUGAUGUUAUUUUUAAUGACUCAUUCGGCGCCUUACG